rnacentral:rRNA from 1 species
UACGAAGGGUGCAAGCGUUAGUCGGAAUUACUGGGCGUAAAGCGUGCGUAGGCGGUUUCUUAAGUCGGAUGUGAAAGCCCUGGGCUCAACCUGGGAAUGGCACUCGAUACUGGGAGGCUGGAGUACGGUAGAGGAAGGUGGAAUUCCCGGUGUAGCGGUGAAAUGCGUAGAGAUCGGGAGGAACAUCAGUGGCGAAGGCGGCCUUCUGGACCAGUACUGACGCUGAGGCACGAAAGCGUGGGGAGCAAACAGG